AAGAACCGGCAGAGUAGUCAAACUGACUUUGAAUCUGUUUUCCCCACUUGGUAGCUAUGGGAUGCUGGGCCGUGCUCUCUGAAUCUCGAGGAAUUGCGGAGUUGAUGUGCAUCUGCCUCAUAAGAUUGUUCGGAGAACUAAACAGGAAAAAGGACACGAAGAGGAGAGUGUGCUAUCUGACUCAAAUAUACCCUUAUCAUCAUGAUAAUGAUGAUGAUUAAUUGUAUUAAGAUACAAGAAGUUAAAGGAAACAGGACAUGUUGGGAUCAGCUGAGUCACCAAAUCUACCCACUAAAGCACAUAGACAGAGCUGAGGAGGUGAAAGGCAGGGCUUGGGCUGGGAGUUGGGUACCACGAAAGCAGCAGCAGCUAAGAUUGUAAGAUGAUUUACAGGGAUGGAAAAGGCUUUGGGGUUUUGUGUUUCUGUUCUCUUUUCCCUGAUGAACACAGUAGGGACAGAAAAGGCAUGGUCAAAUGCACAGUGGAAGCCCUGAGCCGGGAAUACAUGAAGACAUUCACAAGAAAGGCAGCUGGAGCCACCGAGGCCUUUGAGAAAGGCCUCACAGGAGACCCCAGGAUAAGCAGGGUGGCGUCAGAUUCCAGAGCCCCUAGAGACUGGCUGUCAAGCAGCUGAGCCUGGGUGGGCCAGCAGGAGAGCCGGGAGGAGUCUGACAGGCAGUGUGCAGGAUCACAGCUGUGCCUUGGGAACUUGGAAAGGGCCAGACCACAUGGUUCCAGGGAUACUGGGUCCAACCAACACUCCACUGUCCCUAGAAAAAAGCAGCUCACAAUGACAGUGUGUCGUGAGAACGGCGGGUUCAAGUUUCAGAAUCGGACAACUGGGGUGCAAACUCUGACUCCCUGCCCCCCCACUUCUGCGUGACCCUGGCAAGUGGCUUUGCAUCUGUAAGCUCUGGCUGUGAUAACAUAAAAGAUAUCUGUUGUAUAGACUGAGGGGGACAGCUACUCCAUAGCAUGGGGCAUUCGCAAAAGGCGGGGCCACGUUCUUCCACCUUGAACUCAGCUAACAGCAACCCAGUGGUCCCAGCACACCUGGCUCAAUGCCAGUUUUCAUCCACCAGAUGCUUUUAAAGUGCCGUUUAUGAACAGAACCCAAAUACUUCAUGAAGACAGUGUUGAUGAGCCACUUUAAGAAGGUGAAAACAGAAUGGCCACCCUUGCAAAGGUAGGCACCAAUUCAAUCUGCUGGCCAUCUCCAGCUGGAAUCAGCAGUGGGCAGAGGGCUGCGAACACACGGUAAUGAGCUGCUUCCUAAGCGGGAGAGCACAUGCUUAGAUGCGGUUUUAGUCUCCUUUCAGAAGGCGUGAUCUCCAUAUAGUAAAACGUGCCCAUUUAAAGUAUGGAGUGCUGACAAAUGUAUUCACCUGUGUACUCUCUGUUCUUCUAAUCAAUUCAAGCAUUCUCUUAGAGGACAUGGGGGUGCAUGCCUGUAAUCCUAGCAUGUGUCAGGCUGAGGCUGGAGGUUCACAAGUUCAAGGCCAGUGUGGAAUACGACUACUUGCUAUGAUUACCCAGCUCUAUGUCCAUUUUGUCCCUAUGUCUGCCUUGAUACCAAUAUUUAAAUCAUAUCUACAUGACUACAUUCUCCUUCCAAUGUGUCUGAUAUCUCGUGAUUUUUAAAUCAGUGCUAUAUUUUGCUAGCCCAAAUUAGUAAGGAAUGACAAAUAUCUUAUCAAAAGGAUCCCUUGGCCUGGAAGUUGAAAAGAAAACCAGACAGAUGUUGCUAAUCCUUUCAAAGGACAGCAGUCCAGGCAGCUGGCAAAGACAACCGGGGUGCACUUGUCCACAUCGGGACCUGAUUUUACAAAACUGGCUGGUGUUGGAUCUCAAAGAAACCAGGGCCAGUCUCACUCGUUACCUGUAGCUCCUCCCAGCACCUCUCACCCUGCCCCAACUCUAAACUCUCCAGCCCAGAGACUGGGCUUCUCUUCCUCUCCUCUGAUCCCUACGACCUCAGCCAUUUUGGCUACCAGUUCUUUGGUCUCUUGGUCUCCUGGCUUGCUCCUGGCUUGCUCUUGGCUCCUGUUUCCUUUCUUCCCCUCUUGCCAUUCCAACUCAAUGCCUCCAGCUAUUCUCUCCUUCAUAUUCCACAAUAAACCUUCCCCCAUCACCAUCCCUAGGAACAGUUAUGUCCUCAAUUUUCAUUCAGCUAGCAUAUGUAGAAAAGUCACUUCCUUUUGUCCACGCCAAACUAUGCUCAGAAGAGUGUCAUGCAGGCAAGAUGACUCAGCAGCUAAGGACAUUGUUGAGUCUGAUAUCCAUCCCCUCAACCCAUUGUCCCAGACCUACAAAGUAGAAUGACAGAACUGACUCCUGCAGGUGGUCCUCUGACGUCUACACACGCCACCAUGGUGUAGGUAAACUCACACAUAUACAUGUAAAUAAAUGAAUGAAAAAACUUUAGAAGAUGGUGUCUCCCAUCUAUCAUGUCCUAUGUGCAUGAAUAAUUACAAAAUUUAGAUGUAUUAAGGAGGGUUUUAAUGGUAACUGGGCUGGAGCAAACGGGAUAUUGCCAACCAUCAAGUCAACCUGAACUCACGAGCAUCCCCUGAGGUCCCUCUGAUGAUGUGGCCAGAUGUUCUCUCAGAAAGUGAAAGACUGAGCAAAAGUGGAAGUCUUUCAUGAAGAGGUGCUGGAGCCUGUCCAAGUCUGUCUAUCAUGGAGCGGUGAAGGACUGCAAACAGGGCUGGGGAGAUGGCUCUGUCAGUAAAAUGCUUGUCCUAACUUCAAUCCCCAGUACCCACAUAAAAAAUGCAACACAUGGGGCUGGAGAGAUGGCUCAGUGGUUAGGAGCACUAACUGUUCUUCCAGAGGUCCUGAGUUCAAAUCCCAGCAACCACAUGGUGGCUCACAACCAUCUAUAAUGAGAUCUGAUGCCCUCUUCUGGUGUGUCUGAAGACAGCUACAGUGUACUCAAAUACAUUAAAUAAAUAAAUCUUUAAAAAAAAAAUGCAACACAUGCUGACAUGUGUUCAUAAUCCUGGCACUGGGGAGAUGAAGAUGGGUAGGUGCUAGGGCUCACUGUCCAGCCAGAGGAGUCUAAUCAGCAAGCUUCAAGCCAACCCUGUCUCAAAAUUAACAGAGUAGACAGAGGCUGGUAAUGCCCGAGGUUGUCCUCUGGCUUCCACACAGAUGUACAUACACAAAAACACUUGCAGGAGCACACAUGCAUGCACACAUGUACACACGCGCACACACACACACUAGGCUGGAUUACACUGUCCUUGUCACUAGCCCUCCUCAGGGACAGGCUGUAAGGGCUCCUACAAGCACUCGGAACUCCCACUGUGUGAGGGAAGCUAUCCAGUCUUCAUUAACAUACCAGUUCAAGAAAGCAGUCAGUCAGUCUUCACAGCUGCCAACUGAGUUUCAUAAAACAGAUAUUUCAACACACUCUCUCUCAUAAAUGUGUAGCAUAACACUGUGACAGGGCAAGGCAGUGUUGGGGUUCCUCCAUCUUGUAUUCUUGCUGAAGCCAUUUCAGAUUUAACUAGAAUUUGAUCUCCCUGAUGGAAAAUCCCACAGAAAAUUACUCAGCUCCAAUCUAGGACCUGAAGUCAAGACGCCACAGUUAACUUAUCGUAGCUUCUGUUAAACUGCUUGUUUCUGAGAAGUCCCCUGCAGCUGCUGAAUGAGAAAACAGAAGGUGGGUUUUUGCCUUUAAAAGCCCCUUGGUCUAAAUGCUUGGGGGUUACACUUAGGUCAGGGCACCUGAGUGCAAGCAAUCCCAGCAUCUGGAAUAAAGACUUUCAGUUGGCUGUCAACUGUGUCUGAGUGGCCAUCUCUAAUGGACUCCUGGUAGCAAUACCUGUGAAAGCAUGCCACGGUUACCAGAAGGCAUUGUCUGAACCGCAGCUGAAACGGAAAUUUGGAUAUAUCUAGGCUUUCUAAACACACACACACUCCGACUUUAAACUGCAUGUUGAGAUUACCAUCCACUCCUCUGAGGGAGCUAUGCAAAAAGAGAACAAUGUCUUCAUUGCAAAGCAACAAAAUGUCAGGGUUUUUGCAGCGCUGGGAACCAAACCUCACAGGCUCAUGCAUGCUCUCGCUCUACCACGGAGCUCACGGUACCCUCUGGCUCACAAAGUUGUCUUUUGUCUUGGGGCAGUCCUAUGGACUGAGUCACAUGUACUAGGAGAUACCACUGAGCUACAUCGUCAACCCUUUUCACUACUUCCUAUUUUGAGACAGGGUCUUCCUAACUAGACCAAGUUGGCUCUGAACUGGGUCUAUGGCAAAGGCUAGCCACGAAUUAGCAAUCCCCGUGUCUCGACCUCCCUAUAAUGGCUGAGACUGAAGAUCUACUUUACCAGGCCUGGCUCCACACUCAAAGAGAUUUUAAACGCAACCAAGCAAUGCACUAAAUAAGACACCCAUUUUAAUAAAUCAAAUCAACAAUUCUUGUUAUCUGAAAGCUUUUUUCCAGGUUGUGAUGGCACGUGCCUUUAAUUCUAACAGAAGCAGGUGGAUCUCUGUCUCAGAAAGAAAGGGAGGAAGGGAGGGAGGGAGGGAAAGAGGAAGGCAGGCAGGCAACUUUCAGAAAAUAGGCACUUGUCUCUUGCAAUGUUCUGGGUCCUCAACUUCUUGGUCUCUGACCAAAAUGAUACUUACUCAUUCCUCAUUAGAGAUGAAAGUCUAGUCCGAUGUCAAUGAAAGGAUCAAAGAAGUUACAGAUUAUAUAGUGUGAUAGGAAACAUUUAUGUCCAAGCAAAUAAUAAAUGUACAUCUACAUUGUUAUUCUUUCCUUCUUUAUUAAAUGGCUGUUUCAAGUCAUUACAGUUGGAAGUUUUUAAUACGUCUUUAUUUUUAAACUUCCUUUAGAACUUUUACUUCUUUAGAACGCAUUUCUUACAAAAAGAGUUGACAGCACACAGGGAAGGCUCUGGCUGAAUUCUUCACAGCUUGUACUCUACACACUGCUUCAGAUUGGUGUGGGAAGUCGUGUGGGUUAAGAACCGUAGUCUGGGAUGGACCCCAGCAUCUCUCCUCCCCAAAGGCUCGUCUGUCACAGUACCUAGGUGAGAGUCUCCUCCCUCCCAUCUUUUCCUCCAGUGAUGCUGAGGCACAGGAUGCUCUGCAGCUUCUUCAAGAGCUGAGCUCCAAGUAGUCACCACCUUUUCUUGUUCAAAGUAUACUUGGACCACCUGAGUUCCCUUCACAGAAAGAUGUUGGGUGACCUGGGAGCCAAGUGGGAACCACGCUAAAAAGCCUGGAAGCACAGUGACACUGCUUAAUACAAAAUGUCCCCUUGCCUUAACAAAAUCUUGGUGGGGGGGGGGGAGGGUUUAUGAGACAUCUAGGGGGUAAUUAAAUGGCAACAAAGGCAAAACAGAAGAGACAGGUUUGAGGUCAGCCAAGUGCUCCCACACUCUACUAUUCUUGCCCCAACUUCAAUUCCCCAGGCUGAAGAGCUGAACCUGAACACAGCAUCCUGCUCCUUGAUGCUCGGUAUGGCUCAAGAAUGCAGCCCCAACAUGCGCAGAACAACGAGCAAAGGCUCGCUCUUACCACCUCUACUACCCAAACUCAUUCCCCUCAGGAUACCUUUGUCAGAUCACACCAAAGAUCCCCCGCCAAGCUGAGGACUGGACGGGAGACCCACAAAAGUCCAUAAAACAUGGUUCUGACUGUCCCAGACCAGCAGGGUAAACCAAGAAAGACAUCUCGCCCAGAUGUGGACUAAUGGCCCCUACUUCCACCUUCCCAAAUCUGUCAGAACAGAAACACCACUCCACAUACUGUCAGCUCACACACCCAAUAUUAAGAGUACUUUGUUAAUGUCACAAUAUUUCUCAGAAGCAAAUCUUUCUGUGUCUCGUAAGAGUGGGUAUCUUCUCUGCAGAUACCUCAUAAUGGCCAAUUGUGUGCCUACUGUGGAUCUACACGACAGACGCAAACAACCACUGACUCUUCACAAGAACCCAGAGAUGGAUCACCGUGCUCCUUUUACACUGAGGAAACCGAGGCACAGGGAAUGAAGUGCUAUGUCCUUUGGAGAUGAAGUCUUAGCGGCUUGAGCUCUCUGGAACUGUGCCAAGGACAGGCUGGCACUUUCUAACCUGAAUGGUGAAAAACGAGUCACUUGUGCUUCUAGGGGACACCGCAUGGCCUACCUGCUGAGUGUGUGUGUACCCUUGUGAAUCUACAGAGGACCCAAGCAGGAAAGGGCUUUUUGGUUUUGUUUUGUUUUUUUUUUCUUUUGUAUUCUUUCUUGUUUAUUUUUUGUUUUAUUUUGGUUUGGUUUGGUUUGGUUUGGUGUUUGUUUUUCAAGACAGGAUUUUCUGUGUAGCAUGGCUGUCCUGGAACUCUCUUUGUAGACCAAGCUGAUCUUGAACUCAGAGAUCGGCCUGGCUCUGCCUUCUGAGGGCUGGAAUUAAAAGUGUACCAACAUACCCGGGCCAGCGUUUUUGUUUUUAACAAAUUUACAAAUCUCUCCAUUAAAGACACUGAAUAACUUCCCUCCAGCUCUAACAUUUUUAAUUUGUAAGAUAUCAAAUAUGAGAACGAAGGAAGCAAGCACAGUAGCUCAUGACUGCAGUCCUCACACCUAGAGUACAGUGAGUUCAAAGACACUCUGUGCAGAUUAGUGAGAUCCGCAUUACGAUGAAUGAGUGAAUGAAUGAAUGAAUGAAUGAAUGAAUGAGUAGGGAAAUAUAUACAUCCAGCACUCCUGCCUGGCAGCCUCUCUCUGAGUGUCAGAGACAACUCCAGGCACCCCUGACUGUGGUGGGCUCAGCUGCCCACACCAGUGUGGAAAGAUACCCAGCGUAGGCCCACUGACCAAGGAGCCUGGAUGGAGUGGAGACGGAGACUCUCUAGCACGUGCUGGGUAUGGCUAGAGGAAAAGAAUGACCUUCCAGACGCACAAACCUGCUUUCCGGGUUGAUAGCCACGUCACAGAACUCCGGGUAUCCCUUCCAACUGUGGCUGUCUCAGGAGAAAUAACGAGUUAGUAAGAUAAACGUCCCCCAAGCCUGGGGAGCAGAGUUCAAUCCUCAGAACCACAUGAAAGGCCAGGUGCCAGUCUGUAACCCCAGUGUUGGGGAAGGUCGGGGACAGGGGGAAAGUUGGGGUUUGCUGGCAACCUAGUCUAGCCUAAAUCAGUGACCCCCAGAACAAAAAGAGACCAGGAAGAUGGUGAACAGGUCCUUGAGGAAGCACACUCAAGGCUGACAUCUGUCCUGCACACCGGCUUGCACACACGUACACACACAUGAACAGGCAUGUGCACGCACACAUCCAUACAGCCAUAUACACAAGAAAUGAGGAGAAGAAAGAAUUAACCAUGAACAUGAAGACCGGCAUCUGCUGGGAUUUAAUGGGUCUUCCUGGGUUGGCAAGGGAACUAAAAUCAAUUGUUUUCACUGGAAGAGCAAAUCCCAAAUUACCAAGGUACCAAAAAGAAAAAAAAAAAAAAAAGCUUUGAAGCCUACAGUCUGAAAACCAGGGCUGCCCAACAAGGCUGUUAAGUGCUUGGAAUCCAGUCCCCCAAACCACAGGCAGUAAAAUCCUGAACUAACACGCUUAAUCCAGAACUACUGCUGGUCUAUGUCAUUCGCUCCAGCUUUGGACCAGAUGUCAUUAAAGGUUUCUGGGCAUUUUCUGAUGGUGCUGGAGGCUGCCACAAGGUUGGUCUAGCACAGCAUGAUCUGAGACCUUCACAGAGUGACCGAAACCUCCUCUCCACCUAGGGUGGCCUCCUGACUCUGCAGUGACUGUUCUUCAACACAGGACAACGAGAGGGUACCCAGACUCAGGCACCCGCCAUUCUUGUCAUGUGACUGUGGCCGACAUAUUCCAACAUACGUCUCACUGUCCUCAACAUUAAUAACAAAGGAACAUGAAAGAACAAGUUCUAGGUUUCCCCACUCCCUCGUUUCCGAAGACAACAGGAAGGUGUGGCCCAGGCUGACUAAGCCCCGCCUGUGCUUCAAGCACAACACCUGGCAAGCAUUAAACAAAGAACACAUGUAGAAGCAGUAUCUGGCACCACCAGGCUGGAGAACUGCCACCAUCGCCACAACUCUACUAGGUAUCAUGAGGCCCAUUUCCCAGGGAAAGAAAGAGGUGGUCAGGAUUCGUCUGGCCAAGGAGACGAGGUUUUAAGUUUUUAGUUUUAGACUGGACUCAAGUCUUAGAAACUGAAGAGAGUCCGUUUUAACCACUGAACUCUCCUGAUGACAGCCCCUCUAGCUAAGGGCUUAAAGUCUUUAAUCAGCACUGUUAAUGAGAACACUUAAACGUGUAACGUACUUUCAGACACAUUACUUCUGCAAUCUUCACCAGUCUAUGAAGUAGAUAAAACUACAUCUCUAUUUUUACAUAAAUAUAAAAUAAGAUAUUUUUAAAAUUAAUAUAAAAACCCACUUCUCCAUAUAUAUAAUAGGUACCCAAAAAUGUUGAUUAGGGCUGGGGGGGAAGGGUUCAACUGAUAAACUACCUACUGGGCAAGCAUAAGGACCUGAGUUUUAGUCCUGAGCACCCAACUAAGAGCAGAGGAACACAGCUUGCUGCUGCACUGCUCCCACCGGGGAAGGCAGACCACUGAAGCUCGCUGCAACCUAACCACGGCUACACACUCAGUGAGGGUGAAAAAUAAGCUAGGCUGUGAUGCUUUUUAUUUGCACGUUCUUUAUAUAAUAAAGUUUUAGGGCUGGAGGGAGAUGGCCCAGCAGUGAAGAACACUUUGUUUUCACAGUAGACCGGAGUUUGACUCCCAGUACCCACAAAGCAGCUCACAAACAUCUGUAAUUCCAAUCCCAGUGAAUCUAAAUCUGAUGCCCUCUUUUAAACAGGCCCUCAUAUGUAGCCCAGACACCCAUGAGGACAAAACACUUAUAAAAACAAGAAAUUUUUAAAUUAAAAAAAUAAGAUUUUAAUGAAUUUUUUAAAAAAGUCAGAUUGAAGAUACCCUGUGGCAUGUAUGCACACACACACACACACACACACACACACACCACAAACUGACUAGUUUCUCUUUGCUCAUUCCUUCUAUUAGUCUAUAUUCACUAUACAAAACAAUGAGCACCUUCGCAUUAUCACACAUGUACACCACGUGCUUUUUCUUACUCAAGCCUCCAUUAGCCCCUGCUGCUGGUCCUCGGCCCUCACUAUGUGACCCCCUCCCCCCACCUCUAUUUUCAAGUCCUCUUUUUAAAAGUCUAGAUUCUGGGUAUGAGAGGAAAAUAAGCAAUAUCAUCUUUUGAGCCUGAUUCAUUUUGCUUACCAUGAUCUCAGUUCCAUCCAUUUUCCUGCAGAUGACAUCUUGUUCCUUCUGGUGGCUGAGAAUGCCACCAUUAUGUGUAUCCGUCACGUUUUAUUGACAGACAUCUAAGCUGAUGCAUACCUUGGCUAUCACAAACAGCACCGCAGUAAACACGGGCGUGCAGGUGUCUCUGCUGUACAUGGAUGUGAACUCCCUGAAGUACAAAUCAAGAGUGGUACAGCCAUACCCAUGCUAGUCCCAUUUCAUGGGUUUAUUUAGGGAUUGUCUUAAUAUUAUCUUUAUAUACUUCAUGUGAAUAUGGCUAUGCCUGCAUGUGCAUACAUGUACCCACGUGCAUGCAGAAGCCUGCAGAGGUCAGAAAAGGAGUUGGAUACCCUGGAACUGAAAUUACAGACGUUAGUGAACCACUAACCCAGUGAACCCAGGGAAUGCUGGGACCAGGUCCUCUGCAAGAGCAGUAAGUGCUCUUAACCACUGAGCCAUCCCCAACCCCCAGCCUCCUUGUUUCUUGAGGACCCUCCACAAAAAUUUCCAUAAUGGCUACACUAAUUUACAUUCCCACCAACACUGUAUGAAUAACAGUUCCCUUUUCCCCAAAGCUAGAUAAGCAUUUGCUGUCUGAUUUCUUGUUAGCUAAAGGGUCUCAUUAUACAUAGCUUGGGCUGGCCUGAAACGUGCAAUGUCGCCCAAGCUAGGCUCCAACUCCUGCCGCAGUCUCCUGAGUGCUGAACUUAAAGCCAUGGAUCACCACACCGUAUCUCAUUUACCAGUUUUUUAUCUGCUAUUUGGUUUGGUGGGAUUUUUGUCCACCUCCUCCAGAAUUCCUUAUGUCAUAUAAAGCUGGCUGAGAAAAAGACAGCAGAUUAACUAACAAUGCACAGGUAUGGGACAACCUCAUGGUAGAUCCAAGACAACAGGUGAAAGGUCAGAGUCUCCAGGCAAAAAAGAGAAGUCAGAUAAUCAAGCUUAUCGAACUAAUCUGGUGCUAGACCUGUAAGGCACGCACAAACGAGUACACACACACACACACACACACACACACACACACACACACACACACAUUCAUCAGGAAAGUCCCUGUCUAGCCACUCUCACGAGCCCGUCAAGGAGGAAGAAACUUAAACCUGGAGAGAGCGGAGCACUUCCCCUUUUGUCUACGAUGGAAACAGUCCUAGGUCCCUGGUGGGUCGUUGAGACCAUAACUAGUACUCAACUCUGUAUACAGAAUGCUUCUUCCUGUCUAUGCUUGCCUAUGCUAAGGCGUAACUUCCAAAUGAAGCAUAGUGGGACCUAAAACCCAGUAACUAUUAGGAGUUAGGGAGAUGACUCCAUAGUUAAAGAGAAUUUGCUACUGUUUAGUUCCCAGCCCCCACCUCGGGGGAAUAAUCUCUUGUAACAAUGUCACCUCUGGCCUACUUCAGUGCUUGCACUCACAUGCACUUACCCAUACACAGACCCACACAAAUACCCGUCAUUAAAAAUAUGAAUAAUUAUAAAAAUGAUAAAAAUACUGUUAUAAAUGUGGUCUUUUGUGGGAUGUACAUGCACAUCUGUGUGCUUACAUAUUUGGGGUCAGAGGACAAUCUGAGGUACUGUUCUGUGCCACCCCCAAACACACACUUUCUUUACAAGAUCUCUGUGGCCUGAACUCAUCAAAUAGGCAAGUCCAGCUGGUGAGAGAUACCUCAUGGAUCCAAUUGUCUCUGCUUCUCCAGAGCUGGGAUUAAGAACACCGUUCUACCCAGUUUUUUCAAACAGUAAUAUCUAGAAAUGAAGACAACAGAACCAUCUUCCCAGCCUCAUCUCUUCAGGCAAUGCUUGUCUCCAACACACGCACACACGCAUGUGCACACAGACGUAAUAUCCUACUGCACUGUACUCACCCUUCUCAUGUUGAUAGAAGACACAAUGCCCAGAUGAUAGGACAAAGAGAGACGGGCCAUAAAGAGCUGCUGGUGGUGAGUCACACUAUGACAUACCCCCACACUGAUGCCACACUGUAUCAGUUCACCAGAUUACCAGGAAGACGACUAAGUGGUUGGCAGGUUUAGAACAUAAAUACAUUAGGCAGAGGGAUGACACAGGAUGGAGGGGAAUGCGAGUUUGAAUUAACCAUGCCACUCAGAACAGCACACAACUUAAAACUUAUGACUUGUUUAUUUCUGGAAUUUUCCAUUUAACAUUUUUGGACAGCAGCUGACCACAGGUUAACAAAAACCACGGAAGCAGAGUCACUGUGAGGGAAGGCUAAUAUACACAAAGGGAAAAAAAUAAUGAAAUACAAAAAUGCAUGAGGAAAUGAUGCUAACACACCUCGGAUCGACACAUGAUUCGAUGCUGCGAUGCUAAAGAGGCUGGCAGGGAGGCAGCUUGCUUGGGGCAGGCCAGUGGCUGCAUGGAAUAUGAAUUGGACAUGCAGAAUUCCGUAGGCCAAUGAAGAGUGGGAACAUGUGAGCAAAGAUGUGGAAAAGCAAAAUGAAAACAGUGUAGAGGAGGCAAGGCAGGCCGUCCAUUGAUAAGACAUUCAGUCACUGUGGUCUGCAGAGAUCAAGUGUGUUAAGUCUAUGCUAAACUUCUGUACCAGGUCAGGAAUACUGACACACACCACACCACAUAAAGACCGAAAUACAGGAGAGUAUCGGUGAUGCCCAUGACCCAUGUACAGCGCCCAUGGGGUCUGCUGUCAAAAGCAUGGCCAUGAGGAAAGUUGGAGAAUAGAAAAGGAGGCUCAGGAGAGCAUGCUGAGACCACUUCAGCGCUCUGCCGACAGGCUCACACCCCGUUCAUCUCAUGCUCUCUUUAAGGCCCAGAGAGCAGAGGGAGCAAGGGAAACCUGGGAGGAAUGGCAGCCUCAAGAUCCUAGGACCCAUUACCUACUUCCAACUACCUAAGUGCAGUGUGUUGGUCUCAAGUCCUUCACGCUCACUUGUCUAUGCCAAAAUCAUAUUGAUACAAAGCAAUUAAUUUCUGAUUAAGGAAGAAAAAUCCUGACAUUGGGAAAAAGCCAGGGAAUCGCAAUUGAAAGGCCAGUUUGGACUACAAAACAAGUUCAAGGCUAUAGAGAGAUUGAGGCUCGCCCAAGCUACAUAAGGAGACCCUGUCUCGAGAAAAAAAAACGAAGGAAGGGAGGGAGGGAGGGAGGGAGGGAGGAUGAAGGAAGGAAAAAAUUUCUGCUAUGAAAAUCAACAUUGUUAGGGGCUGGGGAUUUAGCUCAGUGGUAGAGUGCUUACCUAGGAAGCGCAAGGCCCUGGGUUCGGUCCCCAGCUCCGGAAAAAAAAAAAAAAAGAAAGAAAAAUCAACAUUGUUGUUCUGAUUGUUUUGCUUUGUUUUGUUUUUUGUCUUUUCCUGCACCCAGGUUUAUACCUUCCUUAUUUAGCCAGCAGAGGAGCCUACAGCUGAAGCAAACUUAAUACACAGAACUCUGAUCAAAAAUACAUCUUCCAGUUCAGUAGCUAAGGACACUCGCUCUUGCAGAGGACCCAGAUCCACAUCUGAGAAUCCCCGUGACACCUCACAGCCAUCUCUAACUACAGUUCUAGGGCAUCCAAGCCCUUCUUUCUGACAGGCACACACAUGGUACACAUGCUUAUAUUCAGGCAAAAAAACUAAUAUGCAUAAAAAUAUUCUAUAAAUUAAAGCACACUUCCCUUCAGAUCCUGGAGCAUGCAAAAGCAGUCCAGUUCUCACAAGUGCCGGCUUUCUUCUGUUCAUGUAGGAAAGCGCACUUUCUGGUCAGUUGCUGUGUGAUUUCCAAAUGCAUUGUUCCUUAGGACAGUGUACAGAAAAAGGCCCCUAGAAUCUCAAAUUAAGAGGAAGAACAACGCCAGUAUGCUUCAUGCUUCAGUCCACUCUGAUAGAUGGAGCUUUUCUAAAGCAAGUCUCAUUGGAAUUCUUUUCUUGUAGUGUUUUGGUUUGUUUGUUUUUAUUUUGUUAAACAAUUCUCAUUGGUCAUAAUAAUAAUAAUUUUUUUUAAUCACAGCAAAGUUCUGUCACUAAAAGAAACUUUGCUGCUGGUCCAGUCAGUAAAAUGGCUGUCAUGCAUGAGACCUGAGCUCAAUCCCCAAUUCCUACUUAAAAGCCUGGAGCAGUAAGAUAGGGGUGAGAGUUGCAAACGGGCAAAUCCCUCCACUCGCUGGUCAGUGAGCUCAGUGAGAGACCCUGUCUCAAAAGGUGAAGAGCUACAGAAGAAAACUCAGCAGCAGCAUCCUCUGGUCUCUACAUGUAGAUGCACUCAAUUAUGAAUGCAUGCACUCAGGUGCACACACACACACAUACGCAGUUCUCAUGCAACACAACAGUAGCCACUGACAGAAGCUAGGCUUCCCAUGAGCUGUGCUAUCUCGCUAAAUACUCAAGCUAUGGAAAUAUAGUUAGGUUGUACAACUUACAGGCUUAAAUGUUUCUUGUCCUUGUGUUCUGCAGACAAGGCCUCAUUCUGGAACCCAGGUUGGCCCUGAUCCCCUGAUAACAGGUGCGUAAGACCAGUUGGCUAUAAAACUUUUGUAUCUAUAAUAACUUUUAUGACUUCACCACUGCAUUUUAACACCAACCCACUGUAAUCCCAACUGACAUGAUCGGAGAGGGUUCAUGAAUUGCAAACUACCUAACCAAGGCCAAUCUCUCUCUCAAACUAAAUACAUUUUUCCAAAGGGCUAAGUCAAAAGUGUAAACAACACAGUGUUGUAUCUUGACUGGUAGACUCUGUCUUAGUUAGGGUUUCAUUGCUGUGAAGAGACACCAUGACCACGCUAACUCUUAUAAAGGCAAACAUUUAAUUGGGGCUGGCCUAGGGUUCAGAGGUUCAGUCCGUUAUCAUCACGUCAGGAAGCAUGGCAGCAUCCAGGCAGACAUGGUGCUGGAAAAAGAGCUGAGAGAUCUACAUCUUGAUUCACAGGUAGUGGAAGGGGACUGUGUUUCCAUACUGGGCAGAGCUUGAGGAAUAAAUUGAAUCCUCAAAGCCCCACCUCCACAGUGACACACUUCCUUUAACAGACCACACCUCCACAGUGACGCACUUCCUUUAACAGACCACACCUCCGCAGUGACGCACUUCCUUUAACAGACCACACCUCCUUCAAUAAGGCCACAACUCCUAACAGUACCAUCCCUGUGGCCAAGCUUCAAACACGUGAAUCUAUGGGGACCAUUCCUUUUUAAACCACGACGUAUUCAUAACCACUUCUACCAUGUACUUCACAGAAUCUUGACAGAGGCACAUUAGAGGGGCUGGGAGGGUGACAACAGAGAGAGGAACGGGAAGUAAACACUGUUCAGCCUAUUCAAGGAUUUUAUAUAAGACUCUUGCUAGAGCUGGAAAAUAGGACAGCAGGAUUCAAAAGCAUCCUUGAAAGGGGGGAAACUUGGGUUUAAUAAAUUUAAUAAAUUGAGGUUUAAUAAAGUCAUGAUGAAGAUGAAUCCAGCGGCAGAGAAGCCUCAGCAAGGAAAAGACACGAAGCCUGCGAGGUGCCUAUCCAGCCUUUAAAUCCUGAGAGCACGAUGGGGUAGAAAAGUUCGCCUUGCUUCGGCAACUCAGGAAAAUUUUUAGUUAACACUUGAAAUAAAAACUGUCUAAUGGUUGGAUAGGAGGCAGAUUUUGGCCUAACAAGAACUAGCCAAAAUUAAAUACAGUUUUACUAGGACUCACAAAAUCCCUAACAGAUUCCUUCAAAGACAAUGAUGAACAGCUUUGGGCUGCUCUUCGAUGAGGAACUGGCUUCCUGGUCCAUCCUCAUAUGUGACUGUUUUAGAAGCAUUGCCUAUGCAUGGUUUUCAAUAGAGCAGUAGAACACACAAGCUGAUGUGCACCUUUGGCAGGAGCACAGCUGGAUGUGAUUCAGAUUCCCCCAGCCCCGCCCCCGUGUGUACUGAACCAUAGUACUUUAACAGCUUUAAGAGCUGAAGCCCUCUGUGCCUUGACAAGGAAGAAAUUAAUCAGCAGCAGAAGAAAAUAUGAAUAAGAAGGGAGACAGUGGCCUGAGUGGAUGAGUAGCUCCACGACGCACAGUGACCAAGCAUGUUAGAAUGACUACCUGAGCACAGCAGUGUAUUUAACAGAGCAGGGGGAACUUAACGGUGGCUACAGCGCCAACUGGUCAACCUUACUUAAAUUCAGGUUUAAAAAGUCAUGGACUAGAAAAGAGAGAAAGCAUUUCACUGGGAAGAAAGGGUUCAGGCAAAGAGGCAGAGCAAAGGAGAAAGUGAGGUGAACAUGAUCUAAAUACAUUAUAUUCGUGUGUAAAAUUCUCUAAAAACCAGUAAAAAUAAGUAAUUUUUAAGUGACCCAACAAAUUAAUUCAAUAGCAUAAAAACAAUUUAUAACUAGGCAUUUCCAUGAAUGAACACAAGGUUUUUUUUGUUUAGUUGGUUAGUUGGGUUUUUGGUGGGGUUUUUUUUGUUGUUUUUUUUUUGUUUGUUUGUUUGUUUGUUUGUUUUUUGAGAUAGGAUUUUUCUCUGUAGCCCUGGCUUUCCUGGAACGCUCACUUAUAGACAAGGCUGGCCUUGAACUCACAACAGAGGCAGAACCUCUGCCUCCCUGGUGCCGGAAUUAAAGGCAUCACCACUGACCAGCGUUGUGAAAGAAAAGAAUACAAGUUUUAAGAAAACACCUAUGACAGGGCCUGGUAGCAUAUGCGUUUGAUCCCAGAACUCAGAAAGGAGGCAGAGGUGGGCAGAACUGAGUUCAAGUCCAGCCUGGUCUACAGAAUGAGUUCCACGAUGCCAGGACUACACAGAGGAAACCCUCAGGAGUGGUGGGGGUGAGGAGUGGAUUCAAAUACUUCACUAUAAUUCAACUGAAAAAUGCUUCAUUACGAAGUUCUGUGUGGAUUCCGAUGGCUAAAAUACGCUCAUAUCCAAGGACUCGCAGCUAUGUGGGGGGGAUGGGUAGAGGAAGUCAGCCUGCUGCAGAUAAGCCUGCCCCCCGGGUCUUGAAUCAUCCGCAGACACUGAAGAGAGGUAAGGUCAGGCAGGCAGAAUGACAGUCCCACCCACUGACAAAUCCCAGAGGCCUCAAACAAUGAUCAUAAAAGCUCUGGGCUCUGUCACCCAGUAAAACUGGAGUGAGGUGAGAGGGGCUCUGUCACCUGCUGAAAGGUAGGAAUCUGGCAAAAGGAUGUGAGCAGGGGAUGGGCCUAAAUAAACCUCUCCUUUAAUGACAGGUUCUCCCCUCCGCAUCCUGGAUUCAUCUUUCCAACCAGAAAAUGCUUCGUGGUCAAUUCUACCCACAUCAACCCUGCAAGCCCUGACAGGCAUCCUCCUUCUGCUGCAGGAUGCCUCUGAAGGCUCCCGACAGUGCCUGGUGCUGCCUGGACACUCACUUGUCUGGUCUCAUGGGGCUCCGGUGGCUUCCUGAGCCCUCUACUUUGCUUUUCAUGUCUUAAGCUCUGCAGUUUUACUUCCUGGAGUGAGCAGCGGGUGGGGACAGCACAUCAGUAGAGCACUUGCUUAGCAUGUUCAAGCCCUGGGCCUCUCCACCAAGUUUCACACAAGCUCACAGUCCUCUACCACUUUGUGAUUAGCCCAAACCCUCUUUUCACUUUCAGUUUUGAGACAAGCUCAUGCUGAGAUGCCAGACUGGCCUUGAACUCAAGGAGGCCUUGAAAGUGUGGCCGCCACUCUCUGUCCCAAGUAGCUGGGAUCACAGGCUGGCUCCAUAUGGUCCAGCCUCAAUGAGUUCUUGUGCCAAAUGGUUAGACCAGCCUCCCACUCCCCAUUUAGUCUUGGUAAAACACUGAUAAUGGCAGGCUCCACCACUCAAUCACAAGACCGACCUUUUUUAAUUCAGGCAUGAUCUCCUGUAGCUCUGGCCAACUUCAAACUCACCACGUAUAUAGACUGAUGAUCCUAAACUCCUAACCUUCCUGUGCCCCUCAAGUGCUGGGAUUACAGGCCCGUGCCAACAGGCCUGGCUAAACAGUAUUAAUUUCCAAAGUCCCGUGUACAGAUUUCAUUUAUUUUCUAGAGCCUCAUGCAGGUAGCUGCUCUCAGACGUCUUUUCUUUGGAAUCCUCUUUAUCCAGCCAUACAAACACCCCUUGAACUCCUCCUUCUGAGCUGAUGCUAUGUGAUAAAUCGAUGCUAGAGGGGAUGGGGUGCUCCGCUGACACAACUUCAUACAUUUCUUCUCAUCAGACCCAGUGUCGUGCUUCCGCGUUUAGACUUAGGAUGGGCAUUGUGUGCUCUUGUUAUGAGCAACCUCAAGUCCAUGAGAAUCAGCCCCUGUGUUUGGAAAACAAACAUACUGCAUGUAGCCAAAAAAACCCUCUUACUCAUCUUACAAGAUAAACGGUUUCGUUUUAUUUUGUUUUGUUUUGUUUAAUUGCGUUUUGCUUUGUUUAUCUCCCAUCCCUUCCUCAAACCAGAGUGGAAAUUUCAUGGGAAAGGUGAAGGGAUGAAGGUCUAUGGAAUGAACCUUCCAGAAGCCUCCCAAGUUCUACCCCUCUCCACGGUUACCCUCAGCCCAACAGGAGACAGUCAGAACACAAACACUAGAGAGAAGCCUUCACGAUUCAGGUCGCUGGUCCAAGUCUCAGUAAGGGUAUGAUUCUGAGCACAUACCCUGGCUUCCCUCUACCUGGAAAUGACAUUCUGACUGUGCUCCUGAUACAGAGUACUUUCAUAGUUAGCCAAGUGAAGUGUUCGCAUUCAGGUGACCAUCCUCUACUGAGCAGUUCAGGGCCUCUCAUCUCUGACCUUACAUCUCUGUUCAGUUGGGCUGUGUGGCCCAAGAGUGUGGUGCUGUCUGUAGAGGUGGCUGCUGGAAAAACUAAAUUUUACAAGACACAACAACACAUAAUUUAACUGAGAGAGAAGGCUCUCCCACUACCCAGGAAAUUUUAUGAAAAGGUCUUAAGGAUCUUCCUAUCCAUCCUUAGAUGCCUGAGCCCGGGAGGAACCACCAUCUGCAUGGGAUUUCUAUUACCGAAGGCUCAUCAACUCCCUCAACUCCUUCUGUGCAGGAAAUGUCAACACCACCCACUGUCUCUAUUUUGCUUUGUUGCUUUCACACGUAAAGAACAGGCUCAAUUUAAUAUACUCUUUGGGGGACGUGGGGGUGUGCAGGCAUGAGGAAUGAGUCAGGGCCACCUCAACCUGUAACCCAGUCUGGCCUCCAACUGCUAGGCUCACAGGCAAAGCCCCCAUGUCCAGCCAAAGCCUGCCUGGAGAGAGGAGUACUCACAUGUGUGACUCAGGUCAAUUUUACAUAAAACAAUUGACUCUGG